rnacentral:rRNA from 1 species
UACGUAGGGUCCGAGCGUUGUCCGGAAUUAUUGGGCGUAAAGCGCACGUAGGCGGUUUGUUAAGUCGGAUGUGAAAUCCCUCGGCUCAACUGAGGAAGUGCAUCCGAAACUGGCAAGCUUGAGUACGAAAGAGGGUCGCGGAAUUCCCGGUGUAGAGGUGAAAUUCGUAGAUAUCGGGAGGAACACCGGUGGCGAAGGCGGCGACCUGGGUCGAUACUGACGCUGAGGUGCGAAAGCGUGGGGAGCAAACAGG